AUCCCGUGGUGUGGGCAUUCCCGAAGCAUUUCUUUAUACCUCUCCCAAGCAUCAUAUAAAGUUUCAUCAUCUUUUUGGAUGAAAGUGAUGAUUUGUUUCCUUAACU